UUGCAACCUGGUUGAUCCUGCCAGUAGUCAUAUGCUUGUCUCAAAGAUUAAGCCAUGCAUGUAUAAGUACAGCUAAACUAAAGUGAAACCGCGAAAGGCUCAUUAAAUCAGUUUUGGUUCAGUUGACCACACGUUUCCUACUUGGAUAACUGUGGUAAUUCUAGAGCUAAUACAUGCUAACAGAGCUCCGACCAGUAAUGGGAAGAGCGCUUUUAUUAGUAAUAAAAACCUAUGGUACUUGUACCUUAUAAUAUAGACGAAACAAAGUAACUGCCUGAUCGCACGGUCAAGCACCGGCGACAUGUCUUUCAAAUGACUGCCUUAUCAACUAAAGUUGGUAGUUUUUACGCCUACCACGGUUGUUACGGGUAACGGGGAAUCAGGGUUCGAUUCCGGAGAGGGAGCCUGAGAAACGGCUACCACAUCUAAGGAAGGCAGCAGGCACGCAAAUUACCCAUUCCCAGCACGGGGAGGUAGUGACGAAAAAUAACGAUACGGGACUCAUCCGAGGCCCCGUAAUCGGAAUGAGUACACUUUAAAUCCUUUAACAAGGAUCUACUGGAGGGCAAGUCUGGUGCCAGCAGCCGCGGUAACCCCAGCUCCAGUAGCGUAUAUUAAAGUUGCUGCGGUUAAAAAGCUCGUAGUCAGACCUGUGACUCGCUCCAUCGGUGAAUCGCAUGCGGUUCGCUGAUGUGCUGCGGGGCGUCCAGUCGGAUGGUCUGUGCUGAGUGUGCGCCUCACGGCGUGCACGAUGCGCUUACCGCAUUAUGACCUGUCACGGUGCUCUUAACUGAGUGUCGAGGUGGGCCGGCACUAUUACUUUGAAUAAAUUAGAGUGCUUAAAGCAGGCUAUUGCUUGUAUAUAUGUGCAUAGGAUAAUAAAAUAUGAAUUCGCAUUCAUGUGGGUUAUGAACUCGCGAGUUAAUGAUUAACAGAGUAGGGUGAGGAUACUCGUACUGAGACGUUAGAGGUGAAAUUCUUGGAUCGUCUCAAGACGAACAGAGGCAAUUGCGCUUAUCAUGUACUUACUCGUUAAUCAAGAACGAAAGUUAGAGGUUCGAAGGCGAUCAGAUACCGCCCUAGUUCUAACCAUAAACUAUGCCAGCUUGCGAUCCGUCGAUGUUCCUCCGAUGACUCGACGGGCAGCAUACGGGAAACCAAAGCUUUUGGGUUCCGGGGGAAGUAUGGUUGCAAAACUGAAACUUAAAGGAAUUGACGGAAGGGCACCACCAGGAGUGGAGCCUGCGGCUUAAUUUGACUCAACACGGGAAAACUCACCAGGCCCAGACACUGUUAUGAUUGACAGAUUCAGAGCUCUUUCUUGAUUCAGUGGGUGGUGGUGCAUGGCCGUUCUUAGUUGGUGGAGUGAUUUGUCUGCUUAAUUGCGAUAACGAACGAGACUCUAUCCUACUAAAUAGACGCAUUUACUGCAUCUCAAAGGCUCAAUGCCCGUGUGGUCGCCUCGCGGUGGCCGCGCGGUGCAUGCGAGUUUUUACUGCAGGCGUUUAAACAUAUCUUCUUAGAGGUACAAGCGGCUUAUAGCCGCACGAGAUUGAGCAAUAACAGGUCUGUGAUGCCCUUAGAUGUUCUGGGCCGCACGCGCGCUACACUGAAGAAGACAACGUGUUUUCCUGGUCCGAAAGGAUUGGGUAACCCGCUGAAACUUCUUCGUGCUAGGGAUUGGGGCUUGCAAUUGUUCCCCAUGAACGAGGAAUUCCCAGUAAGCGUAAGUCAUAAGCUUGCGUUGAUUAAGUCCCUGCCCUUUGUACACACCGCCCGUCGCUACUACCGAUUGAAUGAUUUAGUGAGGUUUUAGGAUUGGCUCACGAGAACGCUUCGGCGGAAUCGUUGCAUGCUAAAAAUAUGUCCGAA
rnacentral:rRNA from 1 species